rnacentral:rRNA from 1 species
GACGAACGCUGGCGGCGUGCCUAAUACAUGCAAGUUGAGCGAUGAAGAUUGGUGCUUGCACCAAUUUGAAGAGCAGCGAACGGGUGAGUAACGCGUGGGGAAUCUGCCUUUGAGCGGGGGACAACAUUUGGAAACGAAUGCUAAUACCGCAUAACAACUUUAAACAUAAGUUUUAAGUUUGAAAGAUGCAAUUGCAUCACUCAAAGAUGAUCCCGCGUUGUAUUAGCUAGUUGGUGAGGUAAAGGCUCACCAAGGCGAUGAUACAUAGCCGACCUGAGAGGGUGAUCGGCCACAUUGGGACUGAGACACGGCCCAAACUCCUACGGGAGGCAGCGGUAGGGAAUCUUCGGCAAUGGACGAAAGUCUGACCGAGCAACGCCGCGUGAGUGAAGAAGGUUGUCGGAUCGUAAAACUCUGUUGGUAGAGAAGAACGUUGGUGAGAGUGGAAAGCUCAUCAAGUGACGGUAACUACCCAGAAAGGGACGGCUAACUACGUG